GCACUCAGAAGAUGUGGAACCUCCCUGAAGUACAGAUGAGCUGCACAAUUCUCCAUGGAAACAUGAGGAUGUGUGACAUAAGGCCACGUAGGUACUGCUGUUCUAUCCAGAGUGCACUGAAGGAGCCUGAUGAAGGUUAAUAAUUAUAGCCCAGUGAUUGAUUUCGCCUUUCCAGUUUACCAAUUCCUCAUAAAGACACAGUAAUGCUUACAGAGGAGCAAUGCAUAGUGAUCAAAAAUCAUAAAUCAGAGGUAUGA